rnacentral:rRNA from 1 species
GUACACGCUGUGACUAGCAUAUCAAUAAGCGGAGGAAAAGAGGGCUAUUACCUACGCUUAGGAUGUUGACACACGCGCGUGCUCGAUGAUAGUCUAUACAUGACUCUGUGCAUAUCAAUAAGCGGAGGAAAAGAAACUAACAAGGAUUCCCCUAGUAACGGCGAGUGAAGCGGGAAGAGCUCAAAUUUGAAAUCUUAAAGGGUCUCCCUUUACGAAUUGUAGUUUAAAGAAGUGUUUUCUGUUGAGGUUUUGGUAAAAGUUCUUUGGAAUAGGACAUCAUAGAGGGUGAGAAUCCCGUAUUUGACCUUUACUUUCAACUUUGUGAUACACUUUCAAAGAGUCGGAUUGUUUGGGAAUGCAGUCCAAAAUGGGUGGUAAAUUUCAUCUAAAGCUAAAUAUUGGCGAGAGACCGAUAGCGAACAAGUACCGUGAGGGAAAGAUGAAAAGAACUUUGAAAAGAGAGUUAAACAGUACGUGAAAUUGUCAAAAGGGAAGCGUUUGACACCAGUGUUGUUUUUCUGAAAAUCAAUUAAAGAACUGUUUAUGCUAAGUUGUUUAGACUUUAUCAGCUAUCUGUUUAGUUUUGAGCUUUUCUUUAAUGCACUUUUCAGUUAACAAGUCAACAUCAAUUUCUUUUGCUGUAAAAAAGCUUGAGGAAGGUGGCUUGAGAUUCGUCUUAAGUGUUUAUAGCCUCUUGCCUAUGCAGUCGGAGAGAUUGAGGUCUGCAGCGUAGAUCCUUCGGGGCUAAAUGCAUUUGUGCUAAGUUAUAGCAUUUUAUAGACAACUUGUUGACUAUGAUUUGUCUUGUAGCUUACUCGCUUAUGUUAUUUUACCUACGCUUAGGAUGUUGAGUCGUAGAGCACGCAG